AUAAAAUAGGUAUAUAGGAAAGAAAUUAUAAAAAAAAAAAAAAGAUCUCUUUUUUGCAAUUUUAUUCUUUUGAGUUUAUUUCGUUCCUAUUCUCCUUUCUCAGAAAAGGAAGACAUUAGCAAAGUAAAAGAUUACUUCAUUCUUGAUAGUUAUUUACUUAAUCAAUGGGUAAGAAAAUACUCUAGAUCGAAUCAUGGGGAGUACUUCUUAAUCAUUUCUACAAACUUAAAGCCCCAAUUUUAAUUCCUUUUAGGUACAUCCUGUUGGAUAAUUUUACAGAAUCUCCAUUACUAAUCCUUCGCGUAUCUUGGUCUUCCUAACCAUCUACUCAUUUUUGUUAACCAUCCAUUAUGGUAAUACAUCUAUGUUAAUAGAUAGUAAAAACUCCAUACAGUUGAUCUUUUGAACCCAUUUCAAGCCAUGAUGCCUAAUCAACCAAUCUUAGGGUAAACAGUUUCAACUACUUUGCUUAUAUUUAAUUUUAUUGCAUUCUUGUACAAAGGAAAUGAGAUUCAAUCCCUUUAACUGUAAAUUCAAAAGUUGUUUUAUUUCAGUCAUAUAACUAUCUGGUUUAGUUCAUCAACCCGAAUUUUGAAUAAAAAAUAAAAUAUAUGUAUUCAAC
rnacentral:lncRNA from 1 species